UUCACCCCCUCGACCUGGAGUCCAGCUAUGCCAGGUUGGCUGAGCUCUUCCCCACCCACAAAGGAGGCUGCAGAAGGCGCCAGGGCUGCUGGAGCUGGAGCCAGGGGAAGUCGGCUGCUGGUUUCCAUGGUGAUGGCGCUGGACUGGUGGGCUGAACCGGCUGACAGGGUCGGGGACAGAAGGAAGAGCAGGUUUCUCACGGCAUGUCAGCCCAGGGCUCCCACAUGUGGCCUCCCACCCUCAUCUUCACACAUUCUCACACCUUCCGGAGUACAGAGGCGAGUGGGGUGCAGAUGGUCCUCCCUACAUCGGGUGAGACUGAUAGAGACAGAACGGGGGAGGGUAUGACAGAGAUCCAGCCACAGAGAAGGGCAGAACUAGAAAAGAUGGGACUUGAGAUGAAACAAAGAGAGAGACAGAAACCAAGAGAAAGAAACCGGGAAGACAAGCAAAGAGACAGGUAGAAAUAGACGGAGAAUUCCUUCUGCUUCCUCCUGGCAGAUUGCACUUGGGGGGCAACCUGGCUGUCCCAGGCCACCAGGGAAGCCCACAUGGCCUGUUGGGUUGGCUUUGUCCCGAAUUGCCUGGAAGUUCAUCUUCUGUCUAGCCUUAGAUCUUGUUGCUAAAUAAUUUGGGGGACAAGGACGUGAGAAUCCCCUCAGCCAGGAGUCAGUCUAUAUGCAGUGGCAGGGGUCUAGACAGAGUCCCCAGAGCCAGGGGUGUUGGGAGAAGCCCCGAGAGGCAGCCCCUCUCCACUCUGAACCCGGGACUCAUUAGGCAAGCCAGUUUCAGCCAAGGUCGGGGGCCCUCGUGUGGCACCCCCACAGAAUAGCAGCGGUGAUACUGAACCCUAGAGCCCCUGACUGUGGGCUCCACCCAGGCAAGAGCCAAUGGAACUGGAGGUAGGGGGUGCAUGGGGAGGAGUGGACAUCUUCACUUCCCUAAAGCAGUGUGUAGGUCAACACGCACGCCACUGCAUGAUGUGUUGCUGUUUAGGUCAGAGUAUAUAUGCAUGCCAUUAUGCGCAUGCGUGUGUAUAGUAUGCAUCUAUAGAAUAGACAUUAUCUAUUUCUGUAUAUGUGAAGGGGCCAUUGUGUGUAUAUAUGUGUGUGCUAUUAUGUGUCUAUGAGUCACAUAAUAAAACGUAACAAAAACACAUUGGGUGUAUCUGUAUGUAUGUUUCUGUGUCAUUGCAUCUAUGUUUGUUUGCCACUGUGUCUAUGUGUGUGCUGUUAUGUGCAUGGGAGGCUAUCAUUGCAUGAGUUUAUAAAUUACAACACAUCAUGAUAUAUAUAGAUAUGGAUGCUACUAUAUGGCACAAUGUAGUAAUUGAUUACACAAUAUAUGACAUGCUCAUAUCGUCAUGUAAAUAUGCAUAAUGACAUGGUUUGAUUUAUAUAUAUAUAUCACCAUGUAUCUAUGUAUUCUAUAUUUAUCAUGAUAUAUGAACAUGUCUCUAUCUAUGUAUGUGUAUGGAGCCACC
rnacentral:lncRNA from 1 species